rnacentral:rRNA from 1 species
UACGUAGGGUGCGAGCGUUAAUCGGAAUUACUGGGCGUAAAGCGUGCGCAGGCGGUUCGUCGUGUCCGAUGUGAAAGCCCGGGCUCAACCUGGGAAUGGCAUUGGAAACUGGCGGACUCGAGUGUGGCAGAGGGGGGUGGAAUUCCGGCGUGUAGCAGUGAAAUGCGUAGAGAUGCGGAGGAACACCGAUGGCGAAGGCA